GUGUUAGGAAUCGUUUUAUAACCUAUCACAGUAAAGGAACGUCCCAGUAUAGCAGCCGAAGAAUGCCGUGGAAGUUUUUGUACAAAGUACAAUUGAUCUACAAUUGAUAUUUUCCGCAAUACUUAUCUGGUGUUCGGUCAGGGUGUCCCAUACUCAUGAUAUUUAUGACAGUGGAAUGGCGUUAGUAAAUCAAUUACAAAAAUUUUCGAGAUCAAUUCUCGGUAUUGCAUCAAAUUAUUCAAAAUAUACAAGCAACACAACGUUGCCCUUUUUGCAGGCAACAAGAGGAAUAUCGACCACGCAACCACUUUCAGAAAAACAAGAGAGUAUAACAUCUAGAAAAAUAACAUAGUAUUAAUAGAAUAGUAUUAAUAAGAACAACAUUGACAGUGAACAACUAAAAAUAUAACACUGUUAUAAAUAUAUGAUAUACGAAUUUUAUUUAUGUAUUAUUAAGACAAGUAUAUCUUAUUUUUAAAUUAUUUCUAUUAUCAUAAGUGAUACAUAUAAUUAAGAGUAAAUAUAACGUUUGUUAAAGCAAGUGGAGAGAGAAUCAAAGCAAAAGGGAAAGUUGGAGAUACUAUAUUAGACAUAGUAGUAAAUAAUGAAAUUGAUUUAGAUGGAUAUGGUGCUUGUGAAGGAACAUUAACUUGUAGUACGUGCCAUUUAAUAUUUUCGAAAGAAGUUUAUGAUGCACUUCCUGACAAACCAACAGAUGAAGAAUUAGACAUGUUGGAUUUAGCAUAUGAAUUAACAGAUACGUUAGUUCAUAAUAAUCAGUAUCAAAUCAUUCACAUUAUUAAUUCUAUUACCUUUUAAUAUUUUAUAAAGUGAAUUUUUCUAUUUAAAUUUAUGUAAAAACAGGUCACGGCUAAGCUGUCAAAUAGUAAUGUCUAAGGAACUAGAUGGAAUUGAGGUAAGAGUUCCAUCAACAAUUAAUGAUGCAAGAGCAUAACUGAAAUUAUCUAUAGGUUUUUGAAAAUUUGUAUACAAUGUUAUACAUCUCUUGUUAAAAAACCCUUGUUAUAAUUAUUAAAAUAUUGGUAUUAAAAAAAUAUAAUAAAGAAUCUUGUGUUUAAAUGUGAAGCUUAUAUAUAUACAUAUGUUAUAGUAUAAUUGCAAUUUUGAUAUUUGUACAUUGCCAUUGUAAAAAGCCUAUCCAAUUAUGAAGAAAAUAUAUCUUUUAUUUUUAAUAUA